CUUUUACAUGUGAGUUAGUGUCUACAACAUCUUCGCCAGGCGUCAGAGGCACAUGAAGGUUCAAAUGGCUCUGAGCACUAUGGGACUUAACAGCUACGGUCAUCAGUCCCCUAGAACUUAGAACUACUUAAACCUAAUUAACCUAAGGACAUCACACAACACCCAGUCAUCACGAGGCAGAGAAAAUCCCUGACCCCGCCGGGAAUUGAACCCGGGCGCGGGAAGCAAGAACGCUACCGCACGACCACGAGCUGCGGACUGUCUUUUGUAGGCUAUUCAUCCUGAGAAUACCACUGCAGUAAAUUCUUCAGAAUUUGGGAAGGGAGAGUUUCCUUCCAGUCUGUCCCACAGGGAAAGAGAGUUUUUCUUUUUUCUUUUUUCAAAAUUUUGAAAACAUCUAAGGUGGGAGAUGUAAAGUUACACAAAUAGUUACUCCUGGAGUAUCAAUAUCUAUACCUUACUCG